rnacentral:misc_RNA from 1 species
AAGUCGUAACAAGGUUUCCGUAGGUGAACCUGCGGAAGGAUCAUUAUCACGUAUCCACGUAUCAACCAUUGUGCACUGUUUCACCCUCUGGAGUUUUUAAAACGAGAUAGCGCUUGUAGCUUCAGGCAUUUAAUUGGGCUCUUUUGUAAUGUAGUUUUAUGAGCCUCGUCUGACUACUCAUGGCCUUCCUGGACCGGACGCGGUUCGGGUGCUCGUCUCCUUAGGAGUAUUUGAUAAACCGCAUUGUUUUUUAUUAACCUUUUUUAAAACUAUCUGAACUGACCGUCUUUUACUCUUCUUUAAUCGGAGGAGACUAGACACCUUAUUAAAUUAUGAACAACUCUUAGCAACGGAUAUCUUGGUUCUC